GACGAAGGUGGCGAGCGUUGUUCGGAAUCACUGGGCAUAAAGCGCACGUAGGCGGCGACGUAAGUUGGGUGUGAAAUCCCUCGGCCCAACCGAGGAACUGCGCCCAGUACUGCGUUGCUUGAGGAUCCAAGGGGUGCAUGGAAUUCCCGGUGGAGCGGUGAAAUGCGUUGAUAUCGGGAGGAACUCCGGCGGCGAAAGCGGUGCACUGGUGGAUUUCUGACGCUGGGGUGCGAAAGCCAGGGGAGCAAAGCGGGG
rnacentral:rRNA from 1 species